UACGUAGGGUGCGAGCGUUGUCCGGAAUUAUUGGGCGUAAAGGGCUCGUAGGCGGUUUGUCGCGUCGGGAGUGAAAACACCGGGCUUAACUCGGUGCUUGCUUUCGAUACGGGCAGACUAGAGGCAUGCAGGGGAGAACGGAAUUCCUGGUGUAGCGGUGAAAUGCGCAGAUAUCAGGAGGAACACCAGCGGCGAAGGCGGCGCUCUGGGCUGGAACUGACGCUGAGGAGCGAAAGCGUGGGGAGCGAACAGG
rnacentral:rRNA from 1 species